rnacentral:rRNA from 1 species
UACGGAAGGGGCAAGCGUUGUCCGGAAUUAUUGGGCGUAAAGAGCGUGUAGGCGGUCCGGUAAGUCGGCUGUGAAAGUCCAGGGCUCAACCCUGGGAUGCCGGUCGAUACUGCCGGACUAGAGUUCGGAAGAGGCGAGUGGAAUUCCCGGUGUAGCGGUGAAAUGCGCAGAUAUCAGGAGGAACACCGGUGGCGAAAGCGCUCAUCUGGCCCGAUACUGACGCUGAAGCACGAAAGCUAGGGGAGCAAACGGG